rnacentral:rRNA from 1 species
GUGUCAGCCGCCGCGGUAAUACGGAGGGUGCGAGCGUUACCCGGAAUUACUGGGCUUAAAGGGUCCGUAGGCGGGUUCAUGCGUCGGUCGUGAAAGGCUCGGGCUCAACCUGGGUUGGUCGGCCGAUACGGUGGAUCUUGAGUCACGUCGGCGCUGGGGGAAUUCCCGGUGUAGCGGUGAAAUGCGUAGAAGUCGGGAGGAACGCCGAUCGCGGAGGCACCUAGCGAGGCGUGUACUGACGCUGAGGGACGAAGGCUGGGGGAGCGAACCGGAUGAGAUACCCGGGUAGUCCUGGCCGUAAACGAUGGAUGCUAGAUGUGGGCGGGGAGACCCGUCCGUGUCGCAAGCUAACGCGUUAAGCAUCCCGCCUGGGGAGUACGGCCGCAAGGUUGAAACUCAAAGGAAUUGGCGGGG